rnacentral:lncRNA from 1 species
AGGCUGAACUAUUAAAGAUCUUCUGAAUACCAAAGAAAAUUGCACCAAGCGCUGGCUUGCCUCAGAAUAAAAAAAAACUCCUGCUGCUGCAGGUUAUUUGUAGCUUGAACAUAUCUAGUUCCUACUUCCAAAUUUAGGGUGUUUCUUCUGCUUGAUUAUGGAGCUGACAGUCGUCUUUCCUUUACUAUCAUUGAACCAGGAUGUAAAAGUAUUUAGAAUAAUUUCUUCUCUGUGAGGAAGACUUUACUCAAAGAUUAAUGAUUCUAAAGUGCUUUGAAAUCCAAGAUGAAAGGCUGCAGAGACACAGCAUUUGUAGAACUGAGCUCGUGGAAUCCAAACUGUUUUACAGCAGCAGAUUCACAGCUAAAUGUGUCAUCUCUGCUUGCUUGUGUAUUGAUUUCAGUCCUGAUAAACAAAUAAAAUCCCCCCUCUCUCAUGACAGGAGGUUUGGUGCAAAAUUCAAGGUUUUGGACAAACCUUCACAUGAAAAUAGCUUAUUAAAAGCUCCAAUCCUAAUGUCUUGAAAAGCUGCAUGAGUCAGAAAAUACAGGAGCAGAGGCUAAAAUCAAAUAUGUCAUAAUGUAAUAAAAUAAAUGAUCUUGCUAAAUUACAUCUUAGAGUCCAUCAAGAUCCCAUAUGUACUUAAAUCCUUGCAGCCUGAAGGUCUACAGUAACACUUCUCCAAUGUGUGAUAAAGUUUCUAAAAUGUGGUUUAGACAAAUGAAAAAUCAAGGCACUAAUUGAAGUAUCUUUCUAUAUUUUCUGUCUGAAGAGAAGAUGUUACCAUUAUUUACUGCACAGAAUUCUGUGUUAAUUAGGUUAGAACUGAAAACUUGAGUGCAAGGUUAUUUGUUUAAAAUAAAGGUGCCUGGGUAUAAAAAUAGGUUGCUGUUUUCAAGUCACACAACAGCUUGGAAUAAAAGAUUAAAACACUCAUCCAAGCAAAACCUUGAAUGUUGAGGUUUUUUGGGGUUUUUUUGGUUGUUGUUGUUUGGUUGGUUUUUUGUUUUUGUUGGUUUUUUUUUUACAAUUCUAUAUCUAAUAAAAAAAAUUACUUUUAAUAAGC